UGCCGGGGUUUCCAACCUCCGGCGUCACUGAAGAGGCACUUGUUACAUCAUUGCCCGACGUGCGGUUCGGUUCUCCCGAUCCAAUCAACGGCAUUUCCCGACGCGGGAAAGCUUUGUGCUGCUU
rfam:Labrenzia sp. C1B10 contig3, whole genome shotgun sequence.